UCUCUCUCUCUCUCUCUCUCUCUCUCUCUCUGGCUACAUGCUCCAAGAAGAAGUAUGAUUGCUUUAAUCUAGGUUGGUUUGUCUACUUUCUCCCUCUUCGUUCCAGUAACCCUCUCACUCAUGGUUUGUAUCAAUUCCUAAAUGCCAAUUUGUUUUUUCUUUAAAUGUUUCUUGAUUAAUUUUUCUGUAUUUGUUCUGAAAAAAUGGGUAUAAUGUUGUUGGUUCAUUGUAUCUAGUUCACGAUUUUGAUAAAUUUUCAACCAUCUUAAGUAAGGUAAUUGUACAGAUUGAUGGUAGAAAAAGUAGCAGAUCUUGAUAGUCCUUGAAAGUUUGUGAAUCUCCUUUGUUUGAUUGUGUUGUGAAUUUUUUUUUUCCGGAUAAGAUGUGCUAUGAUUCUUUAGUGG